rnacentral:rRNA from 1 species
UACGGAGGAUGCAAGCGUUAUCCGGAAUGAUUGGGCGUAAAGCGUCCGCAGGUGGCAAUGUAAGUCUGCUGUCAAAGCGUCUGGCUCAACCAGAUAAAGGCAGUGGAAACUACAUAGCUAGAGUAAGGUAGGGGUAGAGGGAAUUCCUGGUGUAGCGGUGAAAUGCGUAGAGAUCAGGAAGAACACCGGUGGCGAAAGCGCUCUGCUGGACCUUAAUUGACACUGAGGGACGAAAGCUAGGGGAGCGAAUGGG